CUUCGCUGUUGCCAUUUUUGUCUUUAUAUGCAGCUUCCAAGUGAUUUCGCUGCCGGUGGGAGAAAAGGAGUUGCAUGUGGUAGAGCCCAUUCAACAAUACCAAGUUCGUGUCAAAAGGAACACCUGCAACGUUGAUGAGAGUGAUGUCAGUUGUGUUUCUCAUUGUAAACUUCUGGGGUAUAAAGGGGGUUAUUGCAACACUCUGAAAAUCUGCAUAUGCAGUGCUAAUUGAGUACAUAUUUAACCAAUGAUGCUGUUAAUGAUGUAACAAAAUAAUAAAAUUAGCUUAUUCCAUUUUACAA